UACGUAGGGUGCAAGCGUUGUCCGGAAUUAUUGGGCGUAAAGAGCUCGUAGGCGGUCUGUCGCGUCGGCUGUGAAAACCCAGGGCUCAACCCUGGGCCUGCAGUCGAUACGGGCAGACUAGAGUCCGGCAGGGGAGACUGGAAUUCCUGGUGUAGCGGUGAAAUGCGCAGAUAUCAGGAGGAACACCGGUGGCGAAGGCGGGUCUCUGGGCCGGAACUGACGCUGAGGAGCGAAAGCGUGGGGAGCAAACGGG
rnacentral:rRNA from 1 species